UACAGAGGAGCCAAGCGUUGUCCGGAUUGACUGGGCGUAAAGCGCACGCAGGCGGAUGCGCGCGUGGGGUGUGAAAUCUGGCCGCUUAACGGCCAGGCGCCAUCCCAUACGGCGCGUCUGGAGUGAUGCAGAGGUCGGUGGAAUUGCCGGUGUAGUGGUGAAAUGCGUAGAGAUCGGCAGGAACACCCAGGGGGAAACCAGCCGACUGGGCAUCUACUGACGCUGAGGUGCGAGAGCGUGGGGAGCGAACCGGG
rnacentral:rRNA from 1 species